rnacentral:rRNA from 1 species
CAACACUGGGACUGAGACACUGCCCAGACUCCUACGGGAGGCUGCAGUCGAGAAUCUUUCGCAAUGGGCGCAAGCCUGACGAAGCGACGCCGUGUGAGCGAAGAAGGCCUUCGGGUUGUAAAGCUCUUUCGCUAGGGAACAAGAGAGGCAGGAGAAUACCCUGCUGAUUUGAUGGUACUUGGUAAAGAAGCCCGGCUAACUCC